UGAGUCUCUCCGUUGAAGAGCCUGAACUUUUAGAGCAAAACUUAUUAUUGGAUAAAUUGACAUUUACUUUUAACAAGCUUAUGGGAGAUGUGCCGGAAAAAAUAUCCGUUGACGAGUACAUGACUCGUCUCACUGAAGUUUAUUCUUACUGCUUUACUAAAGAAGAUGAAAUGGAUGUUCGCUCUUCAAGACAGCAGUAUCUUUAUAUUCUUGUAGAACAAUAUUUUAAAAAAAAUGCAGAGAAGCGCUACAUGGUUCUUAAAAAUAAACAAAGUUUAGAGUUAUUAAGGGAGUAUUCUACUACUUGGGUAAGGUAUAAAACUGCAGCGAAGGUUAUAAAUAGCUUGCUUAAUCAUCUUAAUAGUGCUUAUGUGCUUUACGAAGUAAAGCAAGGAC